UUGUCUCCACAGCGGGACUCAGUUGUCCAGAGCAAAUAAUCAGUCACGGGGGUGACGGGGUAGCAGGUUUGUUUGUUUUGUUUUGUUUGUUCAAAUGCGUCCUAGCUCAUGAGCCUGCACAAACAGAGAGAGAGAGAGAGAGAGAGAGGGAGAGAGAGAGAGAGAGGACUGAGAUAGACCAGGCACUGGUCCUCAACUCUCUGCGCUAAGUCCAGUCCGCGGGAGUCACUCAUUCAUCCGGUGAUUCUCCGCCCGCUCCUGCAGCGGGGUUCGGCCGCCCUGCUGCUGUCGGGGUCCGGCUUUCCGGAGAAACUUCCGUCGCGGCCGCGCACCGAGCCCGUGCACGCACCAGGGACGGUACAAAAGAGAAUCAGGAAUUCCUGUUUUCCCACAACUUAGAGCAGAAUGACCUUAGUGGAAAUAUUUGAAUGACUCUGGAUAUCCAAGUAAUGGCUUGUUUGACAAAUGAACUUGCAGGUCCAGUUCUCGUGGAAAAUCCAGAAUCCAGUACACAUCGUGGAAGUAUUUGCAAGACAACGAAUGACCUAAACAUAGUGAGAGUGCUCAGAAGCCUUAAAACCGCCAAUGACUACUCAAAGGCAACGAAGAGCUUGCAUAAGAACUUUAACUUUUGAAAAGAUCCAACCAAAACAUAACAUUUGAACAUUAUUCUCUCCCUGUCCAAAUAACCCAUCUUUCUCCUGACCCAAAACACUGUAGACAAAUGGGUCCCCUGGAACUGGAGCUACAGACAGCUGUGGGCUGCUGUGUGAGUGCUGGGAAUUGAAUCCAUGUCCUCUGGAAGAGCAGCCAGUGCUCUUUAUGGUUGAGCCAUCUCUCCAGCCCAAAAAGAGGUAGCAGAUAACUGAACCUUAGACUCUCAGAUUCAGGGUCAGGAACCUUAUCAAUUGAACGAUCCAAGCCUUCUUCAAAUAUUCUUAACUAGUAAAUUUCUCUGUAGAAUAUAAGUGUGACCAACUUUGUAGCUCUAUUGAUAAAAUAAAGUUAAAUGGACCCUUUUAUGAGGUUUUUAAGCAUAGUAAAGCGUUUAUUCUCGUUUGGA